rnacentral:misc_RNA from 1 species
CGACGACGGCCGCUCCGCCGAUGAGCAGCAGCGCCCCGACACCGUGCGGCGCCCGCGCGCGCACGCGGAACUUCAUGCCGCCGCCGCCGCCGGCGCCAGCGCCCUUCCUCUCGGCGGCAGCUCCGGCUGCCUUCUCCUCCUCCCGAUGCUGCUGCUGCCCCCGCGGUUCUUGGGCGGCGCCAAGUGCGUGGCCUCCGACAGCCCAGCCGCCACCUUCCAUGACAAGGGCGUGCGGCGGCGAAUUAAAGAUCACGCGGCUUGGAUGACAAUCCUUCGCCUCGUCCUAGUUAUGUGGUUCGGGGUUGGUGCGCGCCGGUCCAGUUUCUCCUACGUGUGUUCUUGCGCGCGUUCU